rnacentral:ncRNA from 2 species
CUCCAUGAGGGAGAUGGCAUGCCUCCCGUUCCCCGGCGGAACGAACCGCCCCGCACGACCCAUCGCAGGGGCUGAUGAUGCCUGCACCACC